GAGCGGUCAAGGGUCAAAAGUUUCCAAUUUAGCAAGAGGGCGCCAUUCAUGCCUUAUUACAGAAUUUGCACGCGUAAAUCGCGGAGAACGCUAUCUUGUGUUUAUAAGAUCUUUGGCAGUAACAUCCAUUUUGAAUUAAUCAAAACUUUUGAAUGAUUGAUGUUCUCAUUGACAUGUCUGAUUUUUGAUGCAGUGACACCUGAACCGGUAAAUAUUCUUUAUUCAAUGUUUAAGUAAUAUACAAGGAACAUAUUGAUGUACUUUCUGGUUAGCGGAAAUAUUGUGGUAUUAUGCCUUGUUUAAUUUAGAUAAACGGGUGUUGCUUUGGCUCUUUAUGGAGUUCUCACGGAGUCGGGUGUUCGUAUUAAUGUACGCAUUGAUGUAUGUGUAGGCGUAGCCUAGGUCUAGUUAAUUGUUAUAUCAUUCCAUGCAAACAUAUUCAGGAAAUAAGAUGAUUUUACUAUAUUUCUUGUACUCAUAAUUGUAUUGAUAAUCACCAUGACAAUUGCUAUGUUGAACAAUUUGAUUAUUUUAUGAUAUUGCAUUGUAAGCAUUCUAGGCUUAAAUUUAAAGUUAUUGUGUUUGAAUUAAACUUCCUUCAUUGAUGAUUCGCUGAAAGUCGUCGUACACUCGAUGCGGGUCCGUUCCGCUUGAUUGAGCAGCACAGCAGGAUACUGUUAAUACUGUUAUUGUUGUUAACUAUGAUAUUUCUCUAUACUAGGAUCUACAUUCGACUGUGGAAUCAUUUGUAAUACAUUGACUUACCUAUGAAAACGAUUAUAAUAAUAAUAAUUAGUAAUUACAGUUGAUACUGUGGAUGAACAGUGUUGAUAAUAAUAUGAUAAAUAACUACAUAAGCCUCAUUUAAUUAAUUAGUGUUAUGAUUGUAUUUUCUGAAUGUUAAUAAUUAUGAUUGUUGUUAUUUGAUUGCCAGAAUUUUACGACACGGCUUGAUAUGAUGGCAAGAAAUAUAGAAUAAAUGAUACAGCCGAAGCCAGUAAAAUCGUUUCAGUGUCCUUUUUGAUCAGCAUAUUAAAACUGCUACGUUGAGGCAGCUAACACUAUGUUAUUUUACUAAAGGGAUUUCAAUUGCAUUUAUAAAUCUCACUGGUACUGUAUAAAAGUAGUUAUCAAUUGUUGGUAUACCACGGCGUAUCAAGUGGACUUGGAACGUCUUCCUUCAUACAGUACAACAUUGUCGGCUGAAAGUAUAAGUAUAAUUUGUUUCGAUAUAUUAGUUGGGAAUAACCUUGCAUGCACUGUAACAUUGUUUGACCUUAUCGACCGGACUAAAGGCAGCUAAUGCUGAACGGAGACGUGACCUCGCACGCUUUUUUUUUUUUUCAUCCACAGCUCUAACCUACCUUUUAAUGUAAUCAUAAAAUCAAGAUUACAAAUAUUUGUGUAAUAUAAAAAUAAGAAACCUAUUUUGCAGAAUCAGGGAGUAUUACUAAGAGAAAAUGUCUAAUUGCACAACCUAUGAAAAUUUAUUUCAAGUCCCAAAUCACUAAAAAGUAACAAUGUUACUAUUACUUUAAUAUUUGGUUUAUAUACUUUAAAUCAUUAUGCUUGUUUUCAUUGUUUUGCUUCUCGUUCCAUGCGAAUCCAUUACGAUUCUUUAGUUUUCCACGAUAUUUUCCGAAUUUUCAGUAAUCAUUUUUGACUUACUAUUCCUCUGAUAACCCAGAGCAGGAGACGAGCGAUUUAGAAUACGUUGAUGAUGAAGAAGAGGAGUCAGAAGUAAAAGUAGUGAUUUUUAUUAUUGAAGACGUCAAUUUUGAUGAUCCAGCCAAAUGAAGUUGCACAAAGGAUUGUAGAUGAUGAACAGAAGACUGGGUGGUAAAGAAACCAUCAUUAACGAGAAUGGACAAUAAUUACAGAAAAAGAAAUCAUGAUUACUGCUGUUGAACUGAACCAGCUGCAAGAUAAUCAAACAGUACCUACAUAAAAUCCAACUGAGGCAGUUGGCCACUUGUAUUAGGCCUAUGCGUCAACAAUAUUCCAGCACUUUUCAGGUGUGCAGAUAAGGCCCUUAGCACAUACUCAGACGCUAAAAGAAUAGUUAUAACCGUCGAAAUGUCAAAGUUUUUUUCACCAAUACAAUAAUUUGUAGAUUAUAAUUAAAGUUAAAAACUGAGAUACAAUUAUACUGCUAUUAAGUCACAUUUUGGUUUAUAUGAUGACUGGACUAUGGAAAAUCUACGAGUAAAAUAAUGUUAAUUUUUGUAGGUAAGUAGGCCUAUAACACAUGUCUCUCCAAGAUAAUUUUUAGUUGAUAUAUGGCAAGCUGUUUUAUUUUACUUAAUACAGCUGAUGCUACCGAAUUUAUACAUUUUGUAGGCCUACAAUAACGAAUUAGGCAAUUAGUAGAGAGCUUUCGUUAUCUCUGAACCAAUCCGCUGAGAAAAGUGCACAUUCUGUGUAUGAUCAUCACCAGUUUAGGACUAGUUUUAGUUUUCUCGUACUCGAAAGCAACCCGAGAUUCAGCCGCUGAUCUCGGGCGAUAAAUCGAGAAGCAGAAACCGGGGCAGAAACAGAAUGUAUUUGCAACAUUUCAAUGAAAUUUAAUUAUAUUUUAUUAUAUUAAAUUAUUAUAUACUA